rnacentral:rRNA from 1 species
UGAGCAAUCUGCCCUUCUCUUCGGAAUAAGCGUUGGAAACGACGUCUAAUGCCGAAUACGACCUCCUUUCGCAUGAUCGGAGGUGGAAAGCUCCGGCGGAGAAGGAUGAGCUCGCGGCCUAUCAGCUAGUUGGUGUGGGUAAUGGCCCACCAAGGCAACGAUGCGUAGCCGACCUGAGAGGGUGAUCGGCCACAUUGGAACUGAGACACGGCCCAGACUCUACGGGAGG